rnacentral:rRNA from 1 species
UUAAGAUACUAAGAGCAUACGGUGGAUGCCUUGGCGAUAUCUGCCGACGAAGGACGUGACAAGCUGCGAAAAGCUGCGGAGAGAUGCAAAUAAUCGGCGACCCGCAGACAUCCGAAUGGAGAAAUCCGGCUGUGAUGAUGCACAGCCAUCCAUGCCCAAGAGCAUGAGAAGGGAACCGGGCGAACUGAAACAUCUAAGUAACCCGAGGAAAAGAAAUCAAACGAGAUACCCCAAGUAGCGGCGAGCGAACAGGGAAGAAGCCCAAACCGGUGAAGGAAACUUUACCGGGGUUGAGGACCAUCAGACCCGCGAAGAACUUUAGCCGAAACUGUUGGGAAACAGUGCCGAAGACAGUGAAAGCCUGGUAGGCGAAAAAGAGAAACGCGGAGAUGGCACCAGAGUACCGCGGGACACGAGAAAUCCCGUGGGAAGCAGGGGGGACCACCCUCCAAGGCAAAACACAGAUAUCGACCGAUAGCGCAUAGUACCAUGAGGGAAAGGUGAAAAGCACCCCGGGAGGGGAAUGAAAGAGAACCUGAAACCGUAUGUUUACAAGCAGUCGGAGACCGCUUAAUAAUAAGGUCGACGGCGUGCCUAUUGAAGAAUGAACCGGCGAGUUACGAAGCCUGGCAAGGUUAAGCAGGAAAUGCGGAGCCGAAGCGAAAGCGAGUCUUAAGAGGGCGCAAGUCAGGAAGCGUAGACCCGAAACCACAGUGAUCUACCCAUGUCCAGGUUGAAACACAGGUAAAAAUGUGUGGAGGACCGAACCUAUAUCCGUUGAAAAGGGUUAGGAUGAGGUGUGGGUAGGGGUGAAAUUCCAAUCGAACGUGGAGAUAGCUGGUUCUCCCCGAAAUAGCUUUAGGGCUAGCCUCAGGGAAAAGAUUGCAGGCGGUAGAGCACUGAUCAGGAGAGGGACCUACCCGGUUACCAAACCCAGUCAAACUCCGAAUGGCUGCAAUCAUACCUGGGAGUCAGACUGCGACUAAUAAGGGCCGUAGUCAAAAGGGAAACAGCCCAGACCAUCAGCUAAGGUCCCCAAUGCCGUGCUAAGUGGCGAAGGAUGUGGCAUUUCAUAAACAACCAGGAUGUUGGCUCAGAAGCAGCCACCAUUUAAAGAGUGCGUAAUAGCUCACUGGUCGAGAGACGCUGCGCCGAAAAUGUCCGGGGCUCAAGCACGGAACCGAAGCUAUGGCAUGAUAGCAAUAUCAUGGGUAGGGGAGCGUUCUUAUAAGGAAGAAGCAUGACCGGAAGGACAUGUGGACGAAUAAGAAGUGAGAAUGCCGGUAUGAGUAUCGAAAAGAAAGGUGAGAAUCCUUUCCACCGAAAGCCCGAGGGUUCCUGAGCAACGAUCGUCGACUCAGGGUAAGUCGGGACCUAAGCCGAGGCGAGAAGCGUAGGCGAUGGACAACAGGUUGAAAUUCCUGUACCGGAUCAAGUCGAUCGAGCGAAGGAGCGACGCAGGAGGGCACAUGAUCGCGCGGCUGGAAGAGCGCGUCCAAGUGCGUAUGUUGCUGCAGAGGAAAACCCCUGCAGCUGAAAGCAGAGACAUGAAGGGGAGUUAAAGGAAACUUUGACGAACUCAUGAAUCCCACACUGCCAAGAAAAACUUCUAGCGAGACAAGAUCCGCCCGUACCGUAAACCGACACAGGUAGGCGGGGAGAGAAUCCUAAGGUGCGCGGGAAAACCCUCGUUAAGGAACUCGGCAAAUUGCAUCCGUAACCUAGGGAGAAGGAUGGCCCCCGGUCAGUGAAGAGCAGAAACGCUCAGAGCUAAAAGGGGCGGCAGAAAAGAGGCCCAAGCAACUGUUUACCAAAAACACAGGUGCCUGCGAAAGCGAAAGCUGAAGUAUAGGUGCUGACGCCUGCCCGGUGCCGGAAGGUUAAGGAGAGAAGUUAGCGAAAGCGAAGCAUCGAACUGAAGCCCCGGUGAACGGCGGCCGUAACUAUAACGGUCCUAAGGUAGCGAAAUUCCUUGUCGGGUAAG